UACGUAGGUGGCAAGCGUUGUCCGGAAUUAUUGGGCGUAAAGCGCGCGCAGGCGGCCUUUUAAGUCUGAUGUGAAAGCCCACGGCUCAACCGUGGAAGUCAUUGGAAACUGAAAGGCUUGAGUACAGAAGAGGAAAGCGGAAUUCCACGUGUAGCGGUGAAAUGCGUAGAGAUCCGGAGGAACACCAGCGGCGAAGGCGGCAUCCUGGACUGGUCCUGACACUCAGGAGCGAAAGCGUGGGGAGCGAUCCGG
rnacentral:rRNA from 1 species